GAUGAAGAACGUAGCGAAAUGCGAUAAGUAAUGUGAAUUGCAGAAUUCAGUGAAUCAUCGAAUCUUUGAACGCACAUUGCGCCCGCCAGCAUUCUGGCGGGCAUGCCUGUUCGAGCGUCAUUUCAACCCUCGACCUCCCCUUGGGGAGGUCGGCGUUGGGGACCGGCAGCACACCGCCGGCCCUGAAAUGGAGUGGCGGCCCGUCCGCGGCGACCUCUGCGCAGUAAUACAGCUCGCACCGGGACCCCGACGCGGCCACGCCGUAAAACACCCAACUUCUGAACGUUGACCUCGAAUCAGGUAGGACUACCCGCUGAACUUAAGCAUAUCAAUAAGCGGAGGA
rnacentral:misc_RNA from 1 species